AAGCGUGUCGUCCGAAGAAAUAACUUGAUGCAAGUCCCAAGCAUUGAAAGCAGUUUAGCACAAUUUAAUGAAACAACGAAAUCAAAUAAAUUGAUCGCAAGAAAAUAAUGAUGAAAAAAUACUAGAUUUUGUUUAUGUAUGCUUAGUAUUUAUUACAUACGUCAUAAUUAAUGGGAAAAUGUGAUUUGUUUUGUAUUUUAUCGAUCGAUCAUUGAUUUCAAUGCAUGCUGAAUUCGCUAGAUGUCACCGGCGACCACAGUCUAAUGGCAGAAGAGAGUAAGGGAGCUUAGACGUCAAGAGUCUCAAGACGUUUUCGACGCGACGUAGAUUUCGGCUGCUGGUCAACAAAUCAGUGGCUUCUUUGGCGUCUUCGUAGAAUCGCCGUGCUUCACCCACUUACGUCGCGUUUCUUUGCACCAUAAAGAUAUAUAUGUAUGCGCUUGUGUGUGUGUGUAUCUGUGCACCGACUAAUGAGAUCGCUUUAUCCGUCGUGUGCCCAUGGGUGUGUACGUGUCCAUCGGUGCGGAAUGUCCUUUGAAGCCAGGGUUCUUCCAAUAUUCCCGCGGAACAACUCAUCUUGAAAAAUAACGAGUCUCCCCUUUUGACAUUUGACUUUUCUUGUUUUGUUUUCUUUUUUUUUACUGUUUCAACAAUUUAAGUAUUUGAUUCGUUUUAUUUUUCUUCGCAUUCUAUGAAAAAAAAUGAAACAUAUCAUCAAAUAGCGAAUGGUUACGAUCAUUA